rnacentral:rRNA from 1 species
UACGGAGGGUGCAAGCGUUAUCCGGAUUCACUGGGUUUAAAGGGAGCGUAGGCGGUCUUAUAAGUCAGUGGUGAAAUCUCGAUGCUUAACAUCGAACGUGCCAUUGAUACUGUAGGACUUGAGUACAGUUGCCGUUGGCGGAAUGUGUCAUGUAGCGGUGAAAUGCAUAGAUAUGACACAGAACACCGAUUGCGAAGGCAGCUGACGAAACUGUAACUGACGCUGAGGCUCGAAAGCGUGGGGAUCAAACAGG